rnacentral:tRNA from 5 species
GGAGGAGUGCCAGAGUGGUCGAAUGGGCCGCACUCGAAAUGCGGUGUGCUCGUAAGGGUACCGUGAGUUCGAAUCUCACCUCCUCCG